rnacentral:rRNA from 1 species
UGCCAGCCGCCGCGGUAAUACGGAGGGGGUUAGCGUUGUUCGGAAUUACUGGGCGUAAAGCGCGCGUAGGCGGAUUGGAAAGUUGGGGGUGAAAUCCCGGGGCUCAACCUAGGAACUGCAUCCAAAACUAACUCACUAGAGUACGAUAGAGGGAGGUAGAAUUCAUAGUGUAGCGGUGGAAUGCGUAGAUAUUAUGAAGAAUACCAGUGGCGAAGGCGGCCUCCUGGAUCUGUACUGACACUGAGGUGCGAAAGCGUGGGUAGCGAACAGGAUUAGAUA